GUGCAGCAGGCGCGAAAACUUUACAAUGCGGGAAACCGUGAUAAGGGAACUCCGAGUGCCCGUAAAAUCGGGCUGUCCAUCUGUUUAAAUAACAGGUGAAGAAAGGGCCGGGCAAGACCGGUGCCAGCCGCCGCGGUAAUACCGGCGGCUCGAGUGGUGGCCACUAUUACUGGGCUUAAAGCGUUCGUAGCUGGUCUGUUAAGUCUCUGGGGAAAUCUACUGGCUUAACCAAUAGGCGUUUCAGGGAUACUGGCAGACUAGGGACCGGGAGAGGUGAGGGGUACUCCAGGGGUAGGAGUGAAAUCCUGUAAUCCUUGGGGGACCACCUGUGGCGAAGGCGCCUCACCAGAACGGCUCCGACAGUGAGGGACGAAAGCUGGGGGAGCAAACCGGAUUAGAUACCCGGGUAGUCCCAGCCGUAAACGAUGCGCGUUAGGUGUAUCGGUGACCACGAGUCACCGAGGUGCCGAAGAGAAAUCGUGAAACGUGCCGCCUGGGAAGUACGGUCGCAAGGCUGAAACUUAAAGGAAUUGGCGGGGGAGCACAAGGGCGAUUCGCG
rnacentral:rRNA from 1 species